rnacentral:rRNA from 1 species
UACGAAGGGGGCUAGCGUUGUUCGGAGUUACUGGGCGUAAAGGGCGCGUAGGCGGCGCAUCAAGUCAGGCGUGAAAGCCCUGGGCUCAACCCGGGAAUUGCGCUUGAGACUGGUGUGCUCGAGUACGGGAGAGGAUAGUGGAAUUCCCGGUGUAGAGGUGAAAUUCGUAGAUAUUGGGAAGAACACCAGUGGCGAAGGCGGCUAUCUGGACCGUAACUGACGCUGAGGCGCGAAAGCGUGGGGAGCAAACAGG